rnacentral:rRNA from 1 species
CACGUAGGGUGCGAGCGUUGUCCGGAAUUAUUGGGCGUAAAGGGCUCGUAGGCGGUGUGUCGCGUCGGCCGUGAAAACCUGCAGCUUAACUGUGGGCGUGCGGUCGAUACGGGCAUCACUGGAGUUCGGCAGGGGAGACUGGAAUUCCUGGUGUAGCGGUGAAAUGCGCAGAUAUCAGGAGGAACACCGGUGGCGAAGGCGGGUCUCUGGGCCGGUACUGACGCUAAGGAGCGAAAGCGUGGGGAGCGAACAGG